GCGUCCGUGGUCUAACGGCAUGAUCCGGGCUUCCCAAGCCCGUGACGGGGGUUCGACUCCCUCCGGUCGCA
rnacentral:tRNA from 1 species